UUCGUCAACGUUCUGUGGCCUUGGAGC
rnacentral:piRNA from 1 species